rnacentral:lncRNA from 1 species
GCUUCCUAGGGAGGGAGGCUGGGGCGGCAAGGCGGGCGCGGGUGGUCCUUGCCCCGCGCCAGCUCGCCAGGCCACGUCGCUGGCGUUUUUCCAGCGCUGGGUCACCUGCGGGCCGGCGGGUUCCCGCGGCGAACAGCUGGGUGGUAUGGAUACGCCGCUCGAGCCUCCGCAGCGUCAGGUCGCCAGGGUCCGCCCUGCCACUCGCCCCACCUUGAGGUAACUUUUCUUCCGCCUUCUGACUGCGGAAGGAAGGGCCUGGGAGGAAGCAGAAAACCUCACGUGGCUCGGGUACCUCUGAAGAAAAGAUGAUGGCCCGGUGCGGUGGCUCACGCCUGUAAUCCCAGCACUUUGGGAGGCCGAGUCAGGCGGAUCACCUGAGAGUGUAAAGAAAGUCUGAAGAAUACUCCAGGAAAAUUGAGGAAACUAAAGCUAUUUCUACUACUGGUCUCAUAAUUGCAAAGCCAGUGCCUACCAUGAUAAGUGCUCUCUUACUUGGUAUGAAGGAAAUGAUUUUCUUCCCUUGCUAUUUUUUUUAGUAAGUAUAUUAUUUUAUUGCUACAUUAGAAAUGAAAAUACACUCUGAGAAGCUGCAAAGGCAUGCAACUUCAUAAAGAUUAUGAAGCAAUGGAGACACUCAUAGAAGGUUAAAAUUGGCUUUUCCUGUAGGAGGUGCAAAGACUAUACACACACAGGUCAUCAAUGGUUAGAUUAUUGGCAGCAUCUGCCAUGUGGAAUUUAUGUGCCAAUGGGAAGAUUUUUGGUGUUUUGCUUUGUUUUGUUUUGUUUUGAGACGGAGUCUUAUUCUGUCACCCAGGCUAGAAUACAGUGGCAUGAUCUUGGCUCACUACAACCUCCGCCUCCCGGGUUCAAGUGAUUCACCCGCCUGAGACUUCCAUGUAGCUGGGAUUGCAGGCAUACACCACCAUGCCUAAUUCAUUUUUUUCUUUGUUUGUUUGAGAUGGAGUCUCACUCUGUCACCCAGGCUGGAGUGCAGUGUCAUGAUCUCAGCUCACUGCAACCUCCGCCUCCCGGGUUCAAGCGAUUCUCCUGCCUCAGUCUCCCGAGUAGCUGUGACUACAGACAUGUGCCACCACACCUGGCUAAUUUUUGUAUUUUUAAUAGAGACAGGGCUUAGCCAUGUUGGCCAGGGUGGUCUCGAACUCCUGACCUCAGGUGAUCCACCCACCUCAGCCUACCAAAGAUUACAGACGUGAGCCAUCAUGCCCAGCCCCCAUUAUAUGAUGUUUGAACACCGUAUUUCUCCUGCUGGAUAGUUUCCUUGGAAGAAAGCCUAUUUUUUUCUCCAGUGUU